GGACACAACUACUAAAACUGUUUCACUUUUUAAAAGGUGAACCAUGUUCCACCAUAAUCUAAGAAAAUGUAGAUCCAUGUUCUUUCUCUCUUAAUGUUUAUUUAUUAGAAACUUGUUCUCUUAUUUCAUUGUUUGCAUUUCUAGAUGUAACCAUGAUUAAGGUGGUUAACCGUGAGCUUAGCUGCAGACUUGGUUGACAAUUCAUGGUGUAUCUCUUUAGUGAUAUAAUUAUUGGUUGACAAUUCUUGCUACUGUUUUUGCACACAUCUUAAGUUUAAAUAUAAGUAUAAUGUUGCCAACUCAAUAGUUUGUCUCUUUAUACAAAUGCAAUGUUUUUAAUGUUGGCAUAAUUGAUUACGUUGUAUGUAGGAAAAAAAAUUCAAACAUAUGAAUCUACAACAUCGUCUCAAUCAAAAGAAAUAUCAAGUUUAGAUUCAUUGGCUCAUGUUUUAGGAAGCCAAGAGCAUUGUGGACGUGUUCGCGGUCUAGGUUUAGGUCCUUGUCCAUCUAAAGUCUUUGGAGUUCAUGCUCGUUCUCAUAUUGGAUCAUCUUCAUCUACUCCUUCUAAUGUUGAAUUACAAUCUCAGGUAUCUUCAUUGACUUCUUCUAAUGUUAAAUUAGAAUCUCAGGUAUCUUCAUUGAUAUCACAAGUCAAUGAAAUGAAGGCAAUGAUGACACUUUUGUUGCAAAAUCAUCAAGGUCCAUUGCCUUCAUAGUUUGCAUUAUUUCAACGAUCAUCGGUAUCUGAUCAAGGGAGUGGGCCAAACAAUGGAUGUAAUGAAGAAGAAAAUUAGAUAUUGUUAGUGAAUAUCUUUAUGAGUCAUACUUUUAGUAUUGAACAUUUGUAUUGAACAUCUAUAUUGAACAUAUGUAAUGAACAUCUUUCUUUUUAAUUUUUAUGUAUGAACAAUUAGUUGUAUGAAUGAUAUUAGGUUGAACAAUG